GUACACCUUUCCUUCAAAGAUCAGACACAUUGUGAUGCAGCCAUUAUAAUUUAAGUACAAUGUUUGUAGCCUAACUAAGAAAUGCCAGGUAGAAUCAGCUACUUUCAUUAGAUGUGUUUAACAGUCAUGCUGCAUUGCUGGAGUCAGUAACUGAUGAUAUUCCUUCUGUUUCUUCUUCCUCUCAACCAUGUGAAGGUGGUGGGUGGUUUCUUGUUAGCAUGGACCUUGAUGUGAGCAGCAGCUGAACCCAAUCACCUGUGAGUGCUGCACCUGGAGCCAUGCUUACCUCUGGUUUAUAAUGAGCAAAAUUGCCCCAAACAGCCCUUAAAAUGUGGCUGCCAUUCCAUCAGUGCGUUACUGAGGACCUCAGGUUGGCCUUACUGCCCAGGAAUUACUGGGAGAAGCAGGACAGGUCUUUCUGCUGAGAUGAAUCAGCCUUACAAAAGCUGGCUGCCUUUGCAAGAGUCCCGAGCAGCUGCCACCAGCUCCAGGAGGCACCCUGAGCUUGCUCCAAGCAGAAUUAGUGAUGGAAGUGGUUCGUGCUUAGUCGUUCCAGAUGCUCUAUCAGCCAACCCUAGGAACUGGGAUGCAAGCUAGAGAGAGCUCAGCUGCAUGGCCGUGGAAUGCUGAGAUGCCAAGCCGUGCUCUCUCACUCUCAAAGCUCUCGUCUCCUUGUGGCAUUCAGCACACAGAGAGCAUCUCGACAACAGUCACUUUUCAUCAUCAUUUUCCAUUUUUCUUGAAAGGAUAACUGCAUAUUUUUGGAGAGCAUGGCCACAUACCUGAAUCUAUUCAGAGUCAAAUGGAACUGAGGAGAUCGUUAUUAAAACACAGAAAGCGCAGGAAUAAAAUUAACCGUAGCACCAGUUCUCUGUGUGCUGAAUACAC
ensembl:lncRNA